UACGUAGGGGGCGAGCGUUGUCCGGAGUUACUGGGCGUAAAGGGCAUGCAGGCGGUCCGGCACGUUUUGUGUGACAGCGGGUGGCUUAACUACCCGAGGAUACGAAAGACGGUUGGACUUGAGGACUCGAGAGGGACACGGAAUUCCGGGUGGAGUGGUGAAAUGCGUAGAGAUCCGGAGGAACACCGAAGGCGAAGGCAGUGUCCUGGCGAGUGACUGACGCUGAGGUGCGAAAGCCAGGGGAGCGAACGGG
rnacentral:rRNA from 1 species